GUAUAUUAAAGUUGUUGCCGUUAAAAAGCUUGUAGUCGAACUUCGGUCCCUGUCGGUCGGUCCGCCUUCUUGGUGUGUACUUACUCGACGGGGACUUACCUCCUGGUGAGCUGCGAUGUCCUUUACUGGGUGUCGUAGGGAACCAGGACGUUUACUUUGAAAAAAUUAGAGUGUUCAAAGCAGGCCUACGCCCGAAUACAUUAGCAUGGAAUAAUAGAAUAGGACGCGCGUUCCCAUUUUGUUGGCUUCUGAGAUCGCCGUAAUGAUUAAUAGGGAUAGUUGGGGGCAUUCGUAUUCCGUCGUCAGAGGUGAAAUUCUUGGAUUGCCGGAAGACGAACUAUUGCGAAAGCAUUUGCCAAGGAUGUUUUCAUUGAUCAAGAACGAAGGAAGGGGGAUCGAAAACGAUCAGAUACCGUUGUAGUCUCUUCUGUAAACUAUGCCAAUUGGGGAUUUGCGCAGGAUUUUUAAUGACUGCGUAAGCACCCGAAGAGAAAUCUUUAA
rnacentral:rRNA from 1 species